rnacentral:lncRNA from 12 species
CCCCCCCCCCCCCCCCCCCCCCCCCCCCCCCCCCCCCCCCCCCCCCCCCCCCCCCCCCCCCCCCCCCCCGGCUGCCCGCGCUGCGAGACGGGGAGGGAGGGACGGGAGGGUUCUCCGCCCGUUCUCCGUUCCCUGCCGGGUUCCCCGUUCUCUGGCGGAGUCUCUAUUCUCUGCCCUGUUCCCCGUUCUUUGCCGCUGCCUCUUGCGGAGGAAAGCGGAGUUUUACAAUACUCGAGCUCUCUCGUGGGAGGGCCGAACCAGCGAACCAACCGAACACUGUGCAGUGUGAAGUGUUGAACAACUUCCUCGCAGGGAGGACGGUUCUCAACUCCCGAGAAGGCCGUUGUUUAUUUCUAACUGCGGAAGGCCAAGCUCCUUUUCACGAAGAAUCUCUUGUCUCUGUUAAGUCAGCUCCCAGUUUCUGAGAGCAAAAUAUUUGACAGAAUAUCCAAGGGGAGAGAAGCACCCUGGUGCUGGUUCUCAGCAUAAGGAGUUUUGAGACUGGCUGAUUUCUCAGGAGCAAGAAUCAACAUUUCAACAGCUGAUGGACUUAGAGCUCCUGAAGAGGCUGCGCCAGGUCAGCCAGGAUCUUCUACAAAGGCUGAGAAUGAAGCAGGAAGAGAUCAGAAAAGAACUUCCCAGCAAGCUACUCCUUCCAACACCUCUUCAAAGCAGUGCAGCUGCUGACAGAUGUGUCCCCUUGCCCAGGAGAGUGAAGGAAAACCAGGUGGAUGCAGUAAAGUCUACAGCUGACCCUGAAAUAAUGGUGUUGGUGGAACCCAGGGCUGACCCAGCCCUCAGUUCAUCUGUUAAACACAGCAGCAGUGACAGAGGGGUACAGCAUCCGCAAGCAAAGCCACAGGAAGGAGCAGGUUUUAAUUCCAGCUGUCCUGGCAAAGAUAAGAAUGUUACACCAGUGUCUGCAAUGUGUGGCAGAGAAGUCUCCAGAGUGGAUGGGGAUGGCCAUGCUCAAGGAAGUCCAAAGAAAGAAUCCUCCUUCCUGGGACAUGGAGAGAUCAGAAAACAGUCUGCUCUACUGCACAGUUUCCAUGAGAAAAGUCAUUCAGAGCCAUCAGUGAGCAGAGUGCAAAAUAAAGAGCCCAGUGAGCAGCAUGUGGUCGUCAGAGAGCCCCAUAUCCCUAAAUCAGUCCUGCUGACAUCUCGGUCCAAAGAGUUGAAGAAGGAAGCUUCUCAUGUGACUUUUCAGCCUGAACCUGAAGAAGAUACCAUACCUGUCAGCAACUGGUCUGCCUGUCCUUUACUGGGCUAUGACUGGAUUGCAGGGCUCCUUGAUACAAAGUCUCCAGUAACAGAAAAACCUGAGCAAUACUUUGCUGAGCUGCAGGAGUUCCGACAGUCCAACAGGGACACUUGUUUUCAUCAGCAGCACCUGGAGCCCAAGGCUCUGGAUCCACAAGAAUUGGAUUCCAUAACUGGUUCUCAUAAGUGUGUUUACUGUUACCGACUGAACCAGCGCCUCUUCACCAUCCCUGUGGAUUCACAAUCUGCCUGCCCUGUGUGUAAGAUCCCAUGUACCCACCAGCCCUCAGGGACACUGGAAGAGCCAGCCUAUGUCAGGGUCAGCAUUCCCAGGUCUGCCCUUUUGCCAGCCUACAAAUACAGAGCCCAUCGCAGGAGGAGCUUUGAGGCUGCAGAUGAUCUGGCACUGCCUUCGGUGAGUUACAGUCUUCCUGUGGAUGGCACAGCCCCAGCUGGUCCUUGCUUUAUAGCAAGAAGGAAAGAGAAUCUGGGACUCAUUCCCUUGGCAGAGUUUCCACUAAAAUUUUUGAUAAGUGUCAGUGAGAUAGCCAGAACAUCCUUCAGUGUGUUCUGGGUUCACGCCUUUGUGUGAGUGACAUAAAGUGUGUGACAUAUUUCCAGUGCUUUACACUGCACAAAAGAAAAUGCCAUGUGCAGCUGUAUCCUUUUGGGGCAGAUUUGGCUGACUUGUUUCAGGCAUUGGCCUCUCAACCUAAGAGUGUCUUUGUUUGUUUACACAGAUGUUAAGGAGUGUGAAAGCUAAGUGUCUGUGAAGUAUUCACAAAAUUAGUAGUGGCAAGGGUGGAUUUAAAGCUGUUGUAUUGUUGGUCCUAUAUUCCAGCCAGUAAUUAGUGCUGCAGGCAGCAUUGCUAAUCUAACUUAGGCCAGGCCUAGAGAUUUCCAGGGAAGAGGUGGGAGGAAGCUUAGUUUGAGGUUUAGGGAACUGAAUGAGUCGGUUGAGAAAGGUUCAGAGGGGUCAGGUGCUUGAUUUCAUGAAGUGUGAGAUCAGUUUAGAUAGGUGGAAGAGUGACAACUGCGUAGUUCUCUUUUAUUUGAGAUUUCAUUUAUUUCCUGUUGGUCAUGUAAAACUCCUCAAAAAAUAAUAGAUCUAUUACUGACUUAAACCUCCUUGUGCAGAAGUUAGUUCUAAAUAAUAGCAGGCCACAAUAGAUAAAAGAGGGUAAAGCAUUCCCAUUUUUUUUUCACAGCAUUGCCUGGCUGGCUGGGAAAACAUGGUCCCUUCCAGCAGGGCCCUGCUCAGCAGCUUGGAUCUGCGAGCCUCCUUGGAGGAGAAGCCUUCUCCCUCUCCUCCCCUGGUAAGCACAGCCUCCAGAGUCCGAGGAGAUGCAGAGAAUUGCUCAGAUGGAAAUUGCAGCCCCAUCUCUAAAGGAUGUGAUGAUUAUUGAGGGCUGAGCAAACAAAAAUGCCUGGAAGAUUAUCUCCUUAUCAGUACUGGGAAAUGUUUUCCUUCUGCUGACUGGUGUGCACAGAGACAAAAAAGCAAAUGGAGCUGAGUAACAGGCAAAAAAAAAGCCUGUUCAGCUCACCAGUCUUCACCAAAAUGGGAAAAGUCACUUUGGCAUUCUUUGAUUAAUAUCCUCUUUAUUUGGAUUCCAGGACUCAGUGUCCAGUGUCAGGAGGAGCCAAAACUGGUGAGUUUCUACACCUGCCUCACUUGGCACAGCUGAGGUUCAGCAGAGCAAACCAGGACACCAGACAGCAGCUCUCAGUUCAGACCCCACUCCGUCAGCACUCUGCACCGUUGACUUGAUUGUCCUGGGGAAGGGAUGGGCACAGCACAUGGUGACAACUCAGCAAUGAAGCACUUUGGGAAACAAUGAAUCUUUGGACAGAUUUUCCCCGGUUUUCAUGGUCAUGCGUGGUUGUGAGCAACCAACGUAGAGAUAGGACUUUGUACAGCCCACUCUGCUCACUUUGCAUUUUUUGCCUUUUACAGCUACUUGUGAGCAGCUGCAGGAGCUGUCCCAGCUAGGGCUGGAUAAAGUCAUGUCCAGGAUCAGCAGUGCAUCUCUCACCUCAACUGAGUCACCAGCAGUGUAGCAAUAGCUCUGAAUGCCAGGGUGAGGAAUUGGCCUGUGAAGGGCCUGGGUCAGUGGAGUGACACAGAUAUGUUUAUUUCCAAAUAUUUGAAACAUGAUACACAAUUUUCUAGUGCCUUAAACUUGAGUACCUCAAAAAUUUGUAAAAAUUCUAAAACUCCAGUUUAUUCUCAGUGCAAUGUGUGUAGCUAUAGAGUGUAUUACAUCAGAGUAAAUGAACGUGAAAAAAAAAUGUUAAAAUGAGAUUUUAUUCAUCAAUGAGCUAGAUAAUGCCUUAAAAUGUUUGCAAAUUUUGUUUACUUUUCCAAGUUUUCUGGAGAUAAACCAAAAAAUUAUUUUAGAACUUUUGGUUUGGUACAAUUUAAACUACUACACAAAGUGUGAUUUGUUUGAA